rnacentral:rRNA from 1 species
UAGGGAAUAUUGGUUAAUGUGCGAAAGCGCGAACCAGCAACGCCGCGUGCGCGAUGAAGGCCUUCGGGUCGUAAAGCGCUUUUUGGAGGAAUGAGGAAGGACAGUACCUCCAGAAUAAGCCUCGGCUAACUACGUGCCAGCAGCCGCGGUAAAACGUAGGAGGCAAGCGUUAUUCGGAUUUACUGGGCGUAAAGCGUGUGCAGGCGGUUCAGACAGUUGGAUGUGAAAGCUCCCGGCUUAACUGGGAGAGGUCGUUCAAUACUUCUGGACUAGAGGAUGAGAGAGGGAGGUGGAAUUCCGGGUGUAGUGGUGAAAUGCGUAGAUAUCCGGAGGAACACCAGUGGCGAAAGCGGCCUCCUGGCUCAUUUCUGACGCUCAGACACGAAAGCUAGGGUAGCAAACGGG